UACGAAGGGAGCGAGCGUUGUUCGGAAUACUGGGCGUAAAGCGUGCGUAGGCGGUUUAGUAAGUUAGAAGUGAAAGCCCUGGGCUCAACCUAGGAAUAGCUUUUAAAACUACUAAACUAGAAUCUCGGAGGGGAUGGUGGAAUUUCCAGUGUAGAGGUGAAAUUCGUAGAUAUUGGAAGGAACACCAGUGGCGAAGGCGACCAUCUGGACGAGUAUUGACGCUGAGGCACGAAAGCGUGGGGAGCAAACA
rnacentral:rRNA from 1 species